ensembl:lncRNA
AGGAUGAUGUAUCACAGUUGGAUUGAUUCCAACUUCUGAUAUACACAGCCUGAGGCUAAUGACUGGACAAUCGUUCAAGACAGAAUGUUGACUAAAAUUACAUUUGAAUUUAAUGUACGGGAAGACCGAUUAGCUGUGAAGUCACUUUGGCCGGAGAAAGAUGGCGUCGCUUCUAUCCCCUACAAGAUCAACGAUGAUCUGGUGGACAGAAAGAAAACCAUGCUAGCAGCGUUCAAGCUCAUUUCAGACCAGACGUGUAUCCGCUUCCACGAAUACACCAAUGAGAUUAACUACAUCGAGUUCAUCUCUGGGACAGGAAUGUUUUGGGACUAUAUCAAAAAGACUAAUGAAACAAUACAGGUUGACCAGGUCUAUUUUGCUGUAGUGUUCUUCCGCGAUGACCUGUGCCAUGACGGCAUGGAUGGUUUUCUCUGUGGGGAAGAAGCGCCUCAGCGGCGGCGGGGUCGUGUCUUGGAACAGCCCCGUCCGCACGUACUGGACCAUCUGGUUCUUUACCUCCUUCACCUUCCUCACCCCCUGCUGCACCAACGCUCGGAUGUAACCUUUGACCCUGUCGUCCAUCUGAUCUGCACCCGAGGGAACGAGGAGAGAGUGGCUUUUGUUAAGUAGGGAGAAAAUACCCCUAACCACUGUUACAGGGUCAGAUACUUGUAUUCCACAGGGAAUUUCAAGAGAUCAAGGAUUUAUUACGUCUGUGUACCGAACAGGCAUACAGAUACUAGUUAUGUAGCCUAAAGUGAGUCCAAUACAAUAGAUCCCAUGGUCAUAGUAUAGUAAUAACAUAGUAAUACCUUUCCAAUAGGAUGGCCCUUGUGGUCAGUGACACUGGGUAUUUUGAGGAAAUACUGUAUCUUCCACUGCACUGAGGCUGGGUCUGUCUGGAGAGCUUGUUUGAUGGAAAUAGACAUGACCCUCAACCAUGAUGUGUCCUUCUCCAACUGAUGCAGUAUGGAGCGAGCGCACACACACACACAGAGAGAUAUAAUUAUGUAUAUUAGUCUGAUGUGCAUUCUAAUGUUGACUGUGGUGCACGGUCACUGGAGUUACAUAAUAAACAUAUAUAAACAA